rnacentral:rRNA from 1 species
UACGAAGGGGGCUAGCGUUGUUCGGAAUUACUGGGCGUAAAGGGCGCGUAGGCGGUACUUCAAGUCAGGCGUGAAAGCCCCGGGCUCAACCUGGGAACCGCGCUUGAGACUGGAGAACUAGAGUUCGGGAGAGGAUGGUGGAAUUCCCAGUGUAGAGGUGAAAUUCGUAGAUAUUGGGAAGAACACCGAUGGCGAAGGCAGCCAUCUGGACCGACACUGACGCUGAGGCGCGAAAGCGUGGGGAGCAAACAGGAUUGAGAA